CUGACUCUCCCUCCCCCAGAAGUCAUUAACUGUUAGAGGUCUUCAGUUAAGGUGGUAUCUCAUGCCCUUCUCUCGUUUCCAUGCUGGAAUGCUGACUGGCUUGAUCUUGUCUAGGUCUUAUGCAGGUGACAACAGCUACUAUGAGAUCAUGGGGGCCAACAGUCCUGUCCUGCACAGAAGAUACUGUUUCACUCCAGUCCUCCCCAACCUCUAUCUCUCUCCAGCUUUAAGCCCCCUCUUCUGUGAUAUUCUCUGAACACUGGCCAAGUUAUUCAAAACAAGUUCAUACUGUUUUCCAGCUCUCUUGUUCUUGAGAAGAACUUCCAAAUAGGAACUCAAAGUUAAGUUAGAUGACUAACAUCCUUAAUUCUUCUCCAGUCCUGGAUUCACAUGUAAGUCGGGGCCAUUUGUGAGCUUCUGAACUAACAAAGCAAAGUAACUCUCAAAGAUGUUGUGUUCAAAAUGGUAAUUGAAAAGCUUACAAAAGCACAAAAGACUCGAGGCUGGAGGAAACCCAGGCAUGGGAUGUAUCUCCAGGGCUGGCUUCAACACUGCCCCCCACA